GGGUUGUGAGGUUAAGCGACUAAGCGUACACGGUGGAUGCCCUGGCAGUCAGAGGCGAUGAAGGGCGUGCUAAUCUGCGAUAAGCGCCGGUAAGGUGAUAUGAACCGUUAUAACCGGCGAUACCCGAAUGGGGAAACCCAGUGUGACUCGUCACACUAUCAUUAACUGAAUCCAUAGGUUAAUGAGGCGAACCGGGGGAACUGAAACAUCUAAGUACCCCGAGGAAAAGAAAUCAACCGAGAUUCCCCCAGUAGCGGCGAGCGAACGGGGAGGAGCCCAGAGCCUGAAUCAGCAUGUGUGUUAGUGGAAGCGUCUGGAAAGGCGCGCGAUACAGGGUGACAGCCCCGUACACAAAAGCGCAUGUGCUGUGAGCUCGAUGAGUAGGGCGGGACACGUGGUAUCCUGUCUGAAUAUGGGGGGACCAUCCUCCAAGGCUAAAUACUCCUGACUGACCGAUAGUGAACCAGUACCGUGAGGGAAAGGCGAAAAGAACCCCGGCGAGGGGAGUGAAAAAGAACCUGAAACCGUGUACGUACAAGCAGUGGGAGCCCCACCACUAAGCCAGUGGUGAACUCCACAUACGCAUCCUUUGCUGAGGAUACGGUUAACGGAGCGCAAGCGACGUUCAACCGCAAAAGAAGCAGAGGGGGCUUAGUGGUGGGGUGACUGCGUACCUUUUGUAUAAUGGGUCAGCGACUUAUAUUCUGUAGCAAGGUUAACCGUAUAGGGGAGCCGGAGGGAAACCGAGUCUUAAUUGGGCGUUAAGUUGCAG
rnacentral:rRNA from 1 species